UUCCACACCGCCUUACCAAACAGAAGUAUGGUUUGGGAAUUAUCACCUUGUUUCCCUCACUCAGAGAUCCCCAAGGGAGGACUGGAUAUGAACAUUUUUAUGAGGGCCAGAAAAACUCUGGAUUCUUGUCGUGGCGACUCAAAACCGUACAAAGGGGGACAAAACCUUCUGGAAAUAAAGAUGAUCCUAAAACAGAGGAAAAGGGGGGUCCUUUGCUUCACCGACAGCUGUGUCACCCUGAAGAUCAGCUGGACAGUGAUCAGUCUAGAGUCUAGAGGCCAUCUCUCUGAUGAAUCAUACAAGCGACCGUGAGGUCAUCAUGCAGAAGAUGAGGGCAACAUUUAAAUACAGACAACGUCUUGUGCGUGAUCCAGAGAAAUCCACCACUAUUCUCUCUGUUUUUCCUCGAUUUCUGGAUACGAAAGGAUUGAUUCUCCAGGACUUUACACUCCUGUUCGGGUCAGAAACGGCUUCCAGACUCUUGGAAAGGUGGCCAA